rnacentral:rRNA from 1 species
UUGCCAGACUCCUACGGGAGGCAGCAGUGGGGAAUAUUGGGCAAUGGGCGCAAGCCUGACCCAGCAACGCCGCGUGAAGGAAGAAGGCUUUCGGGUUGUAAACUUCUUUUCUCAGGGACGAAUAGAUGACGGUACCUGAGGAAUAAGCCCCGGCUAACUACGUGCCAGCAGCCGCGGUAAUACGUAGGGGGCAAGCGUUAUCCGGAUUUACUGGGUGUAAAGGGAGCGUAGACGGCGUGCCAAGUCUGAUGUGAAAGGCCGGGGCUCAACCCCGGGACCGCAUUGGAAACUGGCAUGCUGGAGUGCCGGAGGGGCAAGCGGAAUUCCUAGUGUAGCGGUGAAAUGCGUAGAUAUUAGGAGGAACACCGGUGGCGAAGGCGGCUUGCUGGACGGUGACUGACGUUGAGGCUCGAAAGCGUGGGGAGCAAACAGGAUUAGAUACCCCUGUAUA